AACACAUGCAAGUCGAGCGGAAAGGCCACUUCGGUUGUACUCGAGCGGCGAACGGGUGAGUAACACGUGAGUAAUCUGCCCCUGGCUUUGGGAUAGCCACCGGAAACGGUGAUUAAUACCGGAUACGACAACUUCUUGCAUGAGAUGGUUGUGGAAAGUUUUUCGGCCAGGGAUGUGCUCGCGGCCUAUCAGCUUGAUGGUGAGGUAAUGGCUCACCAUGGCUUCGACGGGUAGCCGGCCUGAGAGGGUGACCGGCCACACUGGGACUGAGACACGGCCCAGACUCCUACGGGAGGCAGCAGUGGGGAAUAUUGGACAAUGGGCGGAAGCCUGAUCCAGCAACGCCGCGUGAGGGAUGACGGCCUUCGGGUUGUAAACCUCUUUCAGCAGGGACGAAGCGCAAGUGACGGUACCUGCAGAAGAAGCACC
rnacentral:rRNA from 1 species